GCCCGGGUGGCUCAGUCGGUUAAGUGUCUGACUUCGGCUCAGGUCAUGAUCUCGAGGUUUGUGGGUUCAAGCCCCGCAUCAGGCU
rnacentral:tRNA from 1 species